rnacentral:rRNA from 1 species
GACGAACGCUGGCGGCGUGCCUAAUACAUGCAAGUCGAGCGAAGUUUUUCUGGUGCUUGCACCGGAAAAACUUAGCGGCGAACGGGUGAGUAACACGUAAAGAACCUGCCUCAUAGACUGGGACAACUAUUGGAAACGAUAGCUAAUACCGGAUAAUAGCAUUAACUGCAUGGUUGAUGUUUAAAAGUUGGUUUUGCUAACACUAUGAGAUGGCUUUGCGGUGCAUUAGCUAGUUGGUGGGGUAAAGGCCUACCAAGGCGACGAUGCAUAGCCGACCUGAGAGGGUGAUCGGCCACACUGGGACUGAGACACGGCCCAGACUCCUACGGGAGGCAGCAGUUGGGAAUCUUCCGCAAUGGGCGAAAGCCUGACGGAGCAACGCCGCGUGAGUGAAGAAGGAUUUCGGUUCGUAAAGCUCUGUUGUUAGGGAAGAAUGAUUGUGUAGUAACUAUACACAGUAGAGACGGUACCUAACCAGAAAGCCACGGCUAACUACGUG